AUACAGAGGGUGCGAGCGUUAAUCGGAAUUACUGGGCGUAAAGGGCGCGUAGGCGGCUUGGUCAGUCGGAUGUGAAAGCCCUGGGCUUAACCUGGGAAUUGCAUUCGAUACUGCCAGGCUAGAAUGUAGUAGAGGGUAGUGGAAUUCCGGGUGUAGCGGUGAAAUGCGUAGAUAUCCGGAGGAACAUCAGUGGCGAAGGCGACUACCUGGACUAACAUUGACGCUGAGGUGCGAAAGUGUGGGGAGCAAACAGGAUUAGAAACCCCAGUAGUCC
rnacentral:rRNA from 1 species